AUUUUAAAGUUUUAUUUCUACAAUUUGUGCUGGUGUUUAUGUUUUGUUUUUGUCACUUAAUCCGUCCAUUCUAUUUUGUGUACCAUUUUUAAGAAGUUUAUAUAUUUUUUCAAAUGCCAUUUUAUAUAUUUAAUCAGUUGUAACUGGUGUAAAUUAUUGUAAAGGAGAUAGUUUGAUAAAACUUCUUUCUAUAGUAGUCAUUUUUGUUUUUUAUUCCUCUGCGACAAAAAUUUGG
rnacentral:lncRNA from 1 species